rnacentral:rRNA from 1 species
UACGAAGGGGGCUAGCGUUGCUCGGAAUUACUGGGCGUAAAGCGCACGUAGGCGGCUUCUUAAGUCGGUGGUGAAAUCCUGGAGCUCAACUCCAGAACUGCCUUCGAUACUGGGAAGCUCGAGUCCGGGAGAGGUGAGUGGAACUGCGAGUGUAGAGGUGAAAUUCGUAGAUAUUCGGAAGAACACCAGUGGCGAAGGCGGCUCACUGGACUGGUAUUGACGCUGAGGUGCGAAAGCGUGGGGAGCAAACAGG